ensembl:lncRNA
GCUUUGCGUAAUCUACGAACGGAGCUAGUACGAAGCCUUGCAUGUAACGUAAAUAAACUUCAACACAUUCGAAACAGAAGUGAUGUGUAUACAUCGUAUAUUGGGCUGUACAUUUUGGCUGGUUCUAAUCAGGUAGCAACAGUAGAAAUCACUGUACACCAAUAAGAGUGAAGUAUGAGUCAGCAUAGUACAGAGUAGCAUCACCGCAAAUCAAUACAAAGUGCUUCUGACUGAUGGUUUUCAUCCUCUGAUGAAGCAGAUCCAUCCUGCUAGACACGGUCUCUUCCAGGAUGACUCCACCCCCAUCCACAGGGCCCGAGCUCUCAUUAAAUGAUUUGAUGAGAAUGAAAAUGACGUCAAUUAUAUGCUAUGGCCUUCACGCCCACCGGGUCUCAACACAAAGGAAUGCCUAUUGAUUUCGGAUGUUAGACGGGGAGAGUGCUCACCAGUAUUUACAUUUUUGGCAUUACUCAUGACAUCAGUGAGUAAGAAUGCCUUUAGUCAGCCAGUGACUCAGCUGUUCAGACAGCCUAGGGAAGUUCAUUCCACCACAUAGGUGCCAGACAAAGAAGACCCUUGAUACAUGACUUUCCUCUACCCUGAGAGAUGGUGGGUCCAAUGGAGCAGUGCUAGAGGCUCCAGAGUGGAGUAUGAGGUCUGAUGCUGUGCCGAGACAGACAUGCCAGGAGCAAGUUGCAGUAGUGCAGUCUCAAAAUAACAAGGUAAGGAACAGGCGCCCGAGUGGCCUCUGCGGAUAGAAACGGCUGGAUCUUCCUAAUGUUGUAGAGGAGAAACCUGCAUGAUCGAGUCAGUUUAGCGAUGUGAGGCGAGAAGGACCGAGAGACUGUAGAAGGUGGUGAGAUUGGAGGACAAGAUAAUCUGCAGGGAGAAUCCUGAACAUGUUCUGUAGGAAGAGGGGCCGAAGUACAGGACUGGCAGAUCUUCUCGUCGAAGGAUGUGGCAAAGCCAUCAGCAGUCCGAGAGGACGGGGAAGGAAGUGCCGGAAGGCUAAGAAGUGAAGAAACGUAGAAAUGUGGAGAUCAUGUGCAGAGGCAGCCGGCGUUCCCUUGUAGAAGGUCUUUGCAGCUGUCACAUCAAAUGAGAACUUGGACAGGAGAGAGCAGCAUCACGGGAGAUCAGUAUCAAGCUGUGAUUUUCCUCCACUUUCUCUCAGCUGCUCUUAAUUCUCUCCGACAGUCUAGGAGCAGGACGAGCCCACCAUCAAAACACCAACUGAGGAAAUACAGUCAGGUCCGUAAGUAUUUGGAAAGUGGCGCAGUUUUCAUAAUUCUGCCUCUGUACCCCAUCACAAUGGAUUUGAAACAAAGCAAUCAAGACGUGAUGGAGUCUAUAUUUUGAGAUUUCAUUCAAGGGGUUUAACAAAAAAUAUUGCAUUAACUGUUUAGGAAUUACAGCCGUUUUAUUUAUUUAUUUAUUUUUAAAAAAAUUUUACAGAGUCCCAACAUUUUCAAAGGCUCAAAAGUAAUUGGACAAACGAACAAUCAUAAAUAUUAGGAUUCUUUUUUAAUACUUGGAGGCAAAUCGUCU